CGAGAUAGAUUUCUCAGUGAAGGUGUGCCCUUCUGACAGCAUUUUUACAACUUGAGACAUGAUCGGUCUGUUUUUGGGUGCAGCUUGAGUGCACAAUAGAGCGACUUUGAUGAACCGCAAUGCUUCUUCUUCCGAGAGAUUGUUGUCCUUCGAGAAGGGGGGGGAGGUAUCAUCAGGUCGGGAGAUAAUGAAAGAGGAACUCAAUGCCACCUCAAAAGCUCAACCGUAAAUUGAGUCAGAAAAAACUUGGAGCAGCAAGAGGGUUUGAAGGAAUAGAAGGAAAAGGGGUUCAAUCUAGGGUAAGUAUCUUCCUUCAACCUUGAAAGAGUGCAGGUUUAUAUUGUUUAUAUGGAUAAUAAAGUGUGAUCCAGACAUAUCCUCAGCUUACAAUCAUCAGCUUCCAACUGCUGCUUAUGAUGGAAGGUUGAUGCAAAUAGCACGUUUCCAUGCAAGUAAUCUCAGCUCAGAUUAUAUUAUUUUCAAUUCUGUAAUGCUUAAAUUGUAUGUCAUUUAAUGAGCAAUGAAGUUCUAGGCAGGACUAACAAAAGAGAAAAAAUGUAGAAAAUUUUCAUAAUCGAAGACCAAUACUAAAAAGAAAUUUCUACAAUCCCUUAGUACUUUAGUUAAAUGCUUUUCAGUUUAUGUGACAUUUUUGCCAUUUGGCAUGCCAAUCAACUAUUACUUAACUGACAUAUGAAGCAGGAAUCGAUAUGUGAAAGAUCCUCGAUAAAAAAUUAGUUAAUAUUUCCAAAAUCUAGAGGAAUGGGUAACUUUAUAUUAUCUUUAGUUAAAUUUUUCUUAUAGAAAGGUGAAUUGAUAUUGAAUGUACUUUUUGUCAAAUAAUACCCUACCAUAUAAAUGCUGAAUUUUUGUGCCUAGAAUUGCCCAUACGUCUUGAAGCACAGUUUUAAACUUAGAUAUUGCCCAGGCAUCAUAAUAGCCAGAGUGCUUAUGAUAAAAUAUAUUCCAUUCUUGGUAUCUAGGACAAGCAUCUUUUACUACUAAAUCAUAUUUUAUGACUCGCAACUUUAGUCAUCAAUAACACUUGAUGGAAUCAGAAAUCCUAUUUAAAAACAAAUGGCAAGUUCCUAUCUUUUAAUAAGCGUGGACUACUUUUUUUAUCACUUUUCCUAGCAUCACAACUUAACAUUUCAUCUUUUGGAAUUUCUAUUUGGAGGAUAAUUUUGAAAAGAAAAUUCAGAUGCUAAAAUUCACAAGCAGCAAGGAAUCACAAAUGGAAGACAUCUUUUCGUUACCAUUUU